rnacentral:rRNA from 1 species
AGCGAACGCUGGCGGCAGGCCUAACACAUGCAAGUCGAACGAACUCUUCGGAGUUAGUGGCGGACGGGUGAGUAACACGUGGGAACGUGCCUUUUGGUUCGGAAUAACUCAGGGAAACUUGUGCUAAUACCGAAUGUGCCCUUCGGGGGAAAGAUUUAUCGCCAUUAGAGCGGCCCGCGUCUGAUUAGCUAGUUGGUGAGGUAACGGCUCACCAAGGCGACGAUCAGUAGCUGGUCUGAGAGGAUGACCAGCCACACUGGGACUGAGACACGGCCCAGACUCCUACGGGAGGCAGCAGUGGGGAAUCUUGCGCAAUGGGCGAAAGCCUGACGCAGCCAUGCCGCGUGAAUGAUGAAGGUCUUAGGAUUGUAAAAUUCUUUCACCGGGGACGAUAAUGACGGUACUCGGAGAAGAAGCCCCGGCUAACUUCGUG